GGAACAAAUCCUAACCCAAGGCUGAUUUCUACAAGAAGGAGGCUCAUCAAGAAUGAGACCACAGGAGAGAUGACCAUCCCUACAGUAACCAAGUCAGAUGAAGGAUUCUAUAAGUUCCCUCCAGGUUCCGUUGUCUCCAUCUCUCUGACCAGGCUGCUGUGUGGUCUACUGGUGAUGUCUCCCUUUCUACUGGUGUCCAUCGUGCUGAUGGUGAAAUGCUGCAGGGCUCGAGGUUUGUGUUCAACAGUCAAAUCUCCUCAAGACCAGAUACCAUGUGAUGAUGUCAUUGAACAGACUGAAUCAUCCGUGUGAUCAUUACAGUAUGAACUGUAAACUAAACAACCAUUUUAAUGAUUGUAAAGUUUUUACCAUUGAUAUAUGAUAGUGUUUACUCAGUUUAAUAUCACUGAAUGGAAUUUCACAAAUGCUGAAUGUUAUGAUUUUGUAAGUUYACGUGUUCAGCUUUUGGUGGAUUGUAUGCSUUCCUUUGUUAUUGUUGAUMGAUGUAGAUUUUUCAUAAAAUUUUUGAAUUGCCUCUUUUUAUUUCAGUUCGUUAAUAAAACGAGUGUAGUGCCUUUUUUUGUUUAAAAGUWGAAUUUGCUGCAUUCUUUUAAUGUUUUGUGUUUUACAUAAUGUCAUGCUUUUUACAUGCAGGUGGAAAUAGUUGAGCCUCAUGCUUUAGAGUAUACAGUACGUGAAUCUUUUCAGUUUUUAAUUUGAAUGUAGAAUUCUAAAGAUGUGUUUGAUUGGCUGAACCUGCUAUAACAGUUGAGUUGGAACACGUAGAUAUAGUUUUUUAUGCAUUUUUUUUAUAUUAAAGGUAGACUCAGCGAAAUGACGUUGCCACAAGUAGCAUCGCAGAUAUUGAGAUGAGUGAGAUGCAAGAGUUCACUCUCACACAGUAUCUGCGCAUAUGCACGGGUUCACCUCACGUUGUUCAGUGUGUUAGCCACGGGACCAAAACAGCAGAGAAGUUAAACGCUCUUAGUUGCUGUGGAAAUUGAACCACUAUGCACUUUCUGCAUCUACGUCAAAUCGCUGAGUCUACCUUUAAACUCCACUUACUUUUGACUUAUAUUAAUUUUGAAAUACUGUCUACUAAGCAUUUUGUAAAAAAAAAAAAAAAAAGGUUUUACAGCAGAUAUGUUCCAAUGUUCCGCUAUGGAAUUUAAGAUGGAGAAGGUGUGUUAUAUUUUGUAUUAAUUCUCAUAUAUCUAAUAAA